CCUACGGGGGGCAGCAGUGGGGAAUAUUGCGCAAUGGGCGAAAGCCUGACGCAGCGACGCCGCGUGAGGGAUGAAGGUCUUCGGAUCGUAAACCUCUGUCAGCAGGGAAGAACGGUCACUGUGCUAAUCAGCAGUGAAUUGACGGUACCUGCAAAGGAAGCACCGGCUAACUCCGUGCCGGCAGCCGCGGUAAUACGGAGGGUGCGAGCGUUGAUCGGAAUUACUGGGCGUAAAGCGCUCGUAGGCGGUAUGUCAAGUCAAGGGUGAAAGCCCCGCGCUCAACGUGGGAACUGCCUUUGAAACUGGCAAACUGGAGUGUGUGAGAGGAUAGUGGAAUUCCAGGUGUAGGAGUGAAAUCCGUAGAUAUCUGGAGGAACAUCAGUGGCGAAGGCGACUAUCUGGCACAUAACUGACGCUGAGGAGCGAAAGCGUGGGUAGCAAACAGGAUUAGAUACCCGGGUAGUC
rnacentral:rRNA from 1 species